GACGAACGCUGGCGGCGUGCCUAAUACAUGCAAGUAGAACGCACAGUUUAUACCGUAGCUUGCUACACCAUAAACUGUGAGUUGCGAACGGGUGAGUAACGCGUAGGUAACCUGCCUGGUAGCGGGGGAUAACUAUUGGAAACGAUAGCUAAUACCGCAUAAUAUUGAUUAUUGCAUGAUAAUUGAUUGAAAGAUGCUAUUGCAUCACUACCAGAUGGACCUGCGUUGUAUUAGCUAGUAGGUGAGGUAACGGCUCACCUAGGCGACGAUACAUAGCCGACCUGAGAGGGUGAUCGGCCACACUGGGACUGAGACACGGCCCAGACUCCUACGGAAGGCAGCAGUAGGGAAUCUUCGGCAAUGGACGAAAGUCUGACCGAGCAACGCCGCGUGAGUGAAGAAGGUUUUCGGAUCGUAAAGCUCUGUUGUAAGAGAAGAACGGGUGUGAGAGUGGAAAGUUCACACUGUGACGGUAUCUUACCAGAAAGGGACGGCUAACUACGUG
rnacentral:rRNA from 1 species